GUGUUUUCCGGCGUUGUCACGCGCGGGCGAGAGUUGAGUCGGAAUUUGCGACAUCGAAUCCGUAAGACUGAAUAAUUAUUAGUGUGGGGGUUCCGGUCCAGCCCAUUGUGUAGUCACCAGUUGUUGUUGUGUCCCGUUGUCGAUGGAUCAGGAGACCCGCCUUUAGGGCCCGGUCUGGGGGGGAACGCGACGCACAUAAACCCGGGCUCCGGCCAGUAGUGAAGAUAAGGGAGGACAUGUGU
rnacentral:rRNA from 1 species